rnacentral:rRNA from 1 species
AUUGAACGCUGGCGGCAUGCUUUACACAUGCAAGUCGAACGGCAGCGCGGGGCAACCUGGCGGCGAGUGGCGAACGGGUGAGUAAUACAUCGGAACGUACCCAGAAGUGGGGGAUAACGUAGCGAAAGUUACGCUAAUACCGCAUACGACCUAAGGGUGAAAGUGGGGGACCGCAAGGCCUCAUGCUUUUGGAGCGGCCGAUGUCUGAUUAGCUAGUUGGUGAGGUAAAGGCUCACCAAGGCGACGAUCAGUAGCUGGUCUGAGAGGACGACCAGCCACACUGGGACUGAGACACGGCCCAGACUCCUACGGGAGGCAGCAGUGGGGAAUUUUGGACAAUGGGGGGCAACCCUGAUCCAGCAAUGCCGCGUGAGUGAAGAAGGCCUCGGUGUAAGCUCUUUGUUCUAGGGAAGGAAACGGUUACGGG